rnacentral:sRNA from 1 species
AUAAAAAGUUUAAUCUAUCAAAAAUAAUUAACAUCAUUAUAUAAUAUAUAAAGUUUAAAAAAAUCUCAAAAAAAAUUUCGUCAUAUUUUGUGAUUCGAAAUUUUAAGAAUGAACAUAUAUUAACCAAUUGGCGAAAAAUGUGUGGGUUCAACGUCCCGCAACGACUAAAAUAUUUUGACAAUGAUUCAUAAACAUAUUAUAAAUAAGAUCAACAUUAAUAAAAUAAAUAGUUUUUGUUUGUGGACGGGUUUGGCAGGACGGGUUUGGCAGGACGUUACUUAGUAACAAUGGUAAACUAUAAAAUU